UUCUGGAGUUUGGCAGAGGGGGGUGGAAUUCCACGUGUAGCAGUGAAAUGCGUAGAGAUGUGGAGGAACACCAAUGGCGAAGGCAGCCCCCUGGGUCGAUACUGACGCUCAUGCACGAAAGCGUGGGUAGCAAACAGGAUUAGAUACCCUGGUAGUCCACGCCCUAAACGAUGUCAACUAGGUGUUGGGAGGGUAAAACCUUUUAGUGCCGUAGCUAACG
rnacentral:rRNA from 1 species